AACGAACGCUGGCGGCAUGCCUAACACAUGCAAGUCGAACGAGACCUUCGGGUCUAGUGGCGCACGGGUGCGUAACGCGUGGGAAUCUGCCCUUGGGUUCGGAAUAACAGUUAGAAAUGACUGCUAAUACCGGAUGAUGUCUUCGGACCAAAGAUUUAUCGCCCAAGGAUGAGCCCGCGUAAGAUUAGCUAGUUGGUGAGGUAAUGGCUCACCAAGGCGACGAUCUAGCUGGUCUGAGAGGAUGAUCAGCCACACUGGGACUGAGACACGGCCCAGACUCCUACGGGAGGCAGCAGUGGGGAAUAUUGGACAAUGGGCGCAAGCCUGAUCCAGCCAUGCCGCGUGAGUGAUGAAGGCCUUAGGGUGUAAAGCUCUUUCGUCAGGGAAGAUAAUGACGGUACCUGAAGAAGAAGCCCCGGCUAACUUCGUG
rnacentral:rRNA from 1 species